AUUGUCCAUGAUCUAAUAGCUUUUGCGAAAAUCGAAAAGUCGAUUCCGGCGCGUUUUUCGGCGAAAUUCGCCGAAAGAACGCGGUUUCGGUUCUGAUUUCUUCCGACGUGGUUUGGUUAUCCUGUAAAUUAUCACUGAGCCUUGUUGGCUGGUCACCAUCAUCAUUUUGAAGGUUCGGUGAUGAUGGGUGAGCGACGGUGGGUUCCGGUGUCGAAAUAGACACUUUCGGGAACCCAGAUUCGUACAAUUAUCCGGCAAUAAUUGUGUAGUGGUGUUAUCUUGUGUUUGUUGCCAAAACAUCCAAAUCGGAGUGUUUUGGGGCAGCAGGUGACUCGUGACACGAGUCGGUGAGUUUCGGGAUACUUAGUGGGUCCCGACGGCGUCCCGGUGUGGUUUUUGGGACUUUCGGUGAGUUCCGGUGAUCGGUUUUGGGAAACCGAUUACGGGGAUCUUGUGUGGGGGGUUUGUGAGUCUCGUGCUUUGGGUUAGUGGUUUGGAUACUGACCUGGUGGAUCUUCUUAGGUCCGGUAGACUCUGUGCGUACCCAGUGUUCCGACGCGACAGUGACAGGUAGGUGCUUCGAGCUGGUAGUCGGUGAGAGCGUUUCACCUCCUUCUGUUUUUCUAUUCCAGCAUUAUAGUCUCUACAUGUCGUUGUUUGUUUAUCGUUCGGUUAUCCUAUCUCGUUGAUUGCAUUUGGAUAGUUGUGGAUAGACAUGUAGAGCAG
rnacentral:lncRNA from 1 species